rnacentral:rRNA from 1 species
AUUGAACGCUGGCGGCAUGCUUUACACAUGCAAGUCGAACGGUAACAGGCCUUCGGGUGCUGACGAGUGGCGAACGGGUGAGUAAUGCAUCGGAACGUACCCAGAGGUGGGGGAUAACGCAGCGAAAGCUGUGCUAAUACCGCAUGUGAUCUGAGGAUGAAAGCGGGGGACCGAGCAGCAAUGUUUGGCCUCGCGCCUUUGGAGCGGCCGAUGUCGGAUUAGCUAGUUGGUGGGGUAAAGGCCUACCAAGGCGACGAUCCGUAGCUGGUCUGAGAGGACGACGAGCCCCACUGGGACUGAGACACGGCCCAGACUCCUACGGGAGGCAGCAGUGGGGAAUUUUGGACAAUGGGCGCAAGCCUGAUCCAGCAAUGCCGCGUGCGGGAAGAAGGCCUUCGGGUUGUAAACCGCUUUUGGCAGGAACGAAACGGUGUCCGCUAAUACCGGGCGCUAAUGACGGUACCUGCAGAAUAAGCACCGGCUAACUACGUG